GGACCUUUAGCUCAGUUGGUUAGAGCAGACGGCUCAUAACCGUCCGGUCGUAGGUUCGAUUCCUACAGGGUACA
rnacentral:tRNA from 1 species